rnacentral:lncRNA from 1 species
ACCUGUGGCCACUACAACAAGCAGUGCCUGUUAUACAAUGUGUCAGCCCCAAGCUCUCAUCAGUGCCCAGGAGAGCCAGGCUCUUCUCCUCUUGCUGUCCGAUGGCUGGCGUCUCUGGGGCAUGUAGCUCAGUCAUCGCCAGCUGCUGUGAGUUAUUCCCAUCCAGCCACAAAGUCUCCCAGCUGGACUCACUUCUGAAACAUCUGCCCAGUCCCCCAUGUGAGCUGUGGGGCUGCAUCCUGUGAAGGAAACAAGCUCCCACCAGCAGGGUCUGUCUUGGAUCCAGAACAACAUGCUUCCUGUCAGA